CUGAACGUUGACACGAGUUGUUGCUGGCCCCUCGAAGGGGGGGCAUGUGCACGCUCUGUUUACAUAUCCACUCACACCUGUGCACUCUCUGUAGUUCUGUGGCCUGAGAGACCCCGUCCCUCUGCUGCGGUUCUACGUCUUUAUACACACCCUGUAGUGAAGUCUUAUGGAAUGUGUGCCGCGUUUAACGCAAUAAAUA
rnacentral:misc_RNA from 2 species